rnacentral:tRNA from 1 species
UUUCAAGUAGCAUUUAAUGUAUUUGGUUUCGGCCCAAAAGAAGAUUAUUACGAUAAUCCUUGAUUA